rnacentral:rRNA from 1 species
CACGUAGGGCGCAAGCGUUGUCCGGAAUUAUUGGGCGUAAAGAGCUCGUAGGCGGUCUGUUGCGUCCGCUGUGAAAACCCGGGGCUUAACCCUGGGCUGGCAGUGGAUACGGACAGACUAGAGGUAGGUAGGGGAGAAUGGAAUUCCCGGUGUAGCGGUGAAAUGCGCAGAUAUCGGGAGGAACACCGGUGGCGAAGGCGGCCUGCUGGGCAGUUUGCUGACACUGAGGCGCGACAGCGUGGGGAGCAAACAGG